rnacentral:tRNA from 1 species
UAAAAUCUUUAAUAAAUUUAAAAAUAUUUUUAAAUAAAUAGUUAAUGAGCUUGAAUAAGCAUAU